GCCGGUUAAUUGAGAAUUAGGGGAACCAAAAAACCUACAUAUUAUGUUAAAUGUGUACACAACAUGUGCUAUCACGCAUUACAGCUCUUUGUAGUUUCACCUGCUCUACAUUUCCUAAUAAAUAUAGUUUUUGCUUUGCUAGCAAAUUAAACACCAACAGUACAGGCUUUGUUUACAAACUAAGUAGUACAAGUGUGCACAACUAGGUGGAAACUACUGAGAUAAGCAUAUACAGCUAAACUAUUUUCUGGCAGUUGUGAACUCAUGAUACAAGUUUUCAGGCUUCAACCUCUUGAACUGUAGAUUGGUUUUCAUCUUUCUCAGCAUCACCAUCUCCAUCUUCUUCAUCAUCAGCUAGUUUGGUAAGCUCUUCUUGGAUCAUGAGUUUUAUAGAUGACUUUCUUUGGGUCAGAUCUGUAUCAAAUUGCCGAGCUGAAAAGCAGCCAGAUAUCUUUCAGGCAACCAGGAAUAGGAAUAAAAUCAACAAACAUAGGUUCUCACUUUCAAUUCAAGAGUCAACAUACAAAAUUGAAAAUAAAGGGAACUUUUUUUUUUAAUUGGGUGAUCACUGUCAAAAAAAAAAUGCUAUCUGUACAAAUCCUUGAUUAAAAUGAAUCUCAAAUCAUCAACCUGUUACGUGAAGACCUUUUCAACACAUUAACAAUGAGGAUCACUUUAACUACAGGAAAUAAACUGCAAACAGCUUUUCCACAAAUCCACUCUAGUCCAUCAAAAACAACCAUUGUGCUGUACUUUGGGAAAUACCAUUUAUGACGUCCAGAACUCCAGAUCAUUAAUGUAAAGUUUAAACACAUUGAAUUUCUGGAAGGAAAUAAACAUUCUAAAAUUAAGGCUAAUAUUGUUCCAUCCAUUUUUCUUACAUUAAAAAAAUCACAAAAAAUAUUCAAACAAUAGAAGUGAAGAAAACGUACCAAGUUGCUUCAAAAUGUCAGUGAAUGUAGCCUGCAAAAGCAGAUUACAGCUUAAUCUUGUGAUAACAUUAAUUUGAACAGAACAGACACAAAAUCAAAAUUCAUCCAGUUUGUUUUAAAUUCAUCCAGUUUGUUUUACAGGAAAAGAAAAAUAGAAACUUCAAUUGCUAAGACAUGGUUUGGGAAAAUCAACAGAAAAGACCACUAACCUGCAAGAAGCACAAAAAGGCCACUCUUUUAACAUUUGCUUCUUUAAAAUGACAAAAUAGCUAGUUCAUUAGAUCAACCUUAUCUAAAGUACCAAAUCUUAGACAAUAUUGCUUGGGAGCAUUUAAGAAAAAAAGUUGCAGAACAUAUGAAACAGCACAUAGAUCCUUUUGUGAAGCACACAAGCAAUGAAUGAAGCAAAGCCAUCCAAAGGCAAGAAUUGUGAACAAGUCUUUGAAACAGAUCUAAUUAUAAUCAUAACCAGGGGCCCUUAUGGUAAGUCCAGGAGUACCCUACAACAGCAUGUAUUUAGCAAUGUUAAAAUUAGGAGGACGAUAUUAAUUAAAAACUUCAAUGGCCAAUCCAGCAUGCUUCAUUUACCAUACUUUAACUGCAAGACCAUUAUAACAGCAGUAAACUAGUAAUGUCAGAUCUUACCGUAUUAAGAUCCACCUCCUUAAGAAUUUCACAUAUGGCGUCUCUAAGCUCAUCAUCAGUUGGCUUCAAUUUCUCCCCUUUGACUUUAGCCUUUUCCUUCCCUUUUGUAGUCCUUUUACCUGUUUUCUCCUCGGAAGGAGAUUUUUUAGGAGUUGAAGACUUCUCCUUUACUACUUUUUCAUUUUUCUUCUUCCUUGAGAAAACCUUUGGACUUGCAUCACCAUCAUCAUCCGCCUCAGUGCGUUUAGAUGAAGAUUUUUUAGGCAACCCUUUUGGAGGAGGACUGCAUUUAAUGGAAAUAGUGAGUUUCUUGGUUUUAGCUUUUCCAGUGGAUUCCUUCUUUCUAGAUGAUGUUCUUGAGCUUCUUUUGUGUUUACCAACAUCUUCUUCAGAUUCCUCUUCAGACUCAUUUUCCUCAUUUUCAGAAUGCCCAGGUAUCUCAGCAUCAGAUUUCUCCACAAGACCAUUUUCAUUUUCUUCUUCUACAUCUUCUUCCUCUUCUUUUUCUUCUUUUGACUCAUCUUCAGUAUCAGGUGUAUCUUUUUUAUCAGUUUUUGAAGCAUCCCCAGCCUUUUUUCGACUCUGAAAUAUGCCAAAUAUUAAAUAAUAAAAUAAAAAUAGAAGUAAUAAGGAAACACACAACAAUCUAGAUAGAUGACGGAUAGAAAUGCAUUGUGUAAGUUCUUCACAGGUAGUAGAAUUGCACAAAUAAUACCAUAAGCCUAGCUUUCACAUACUCUUCUUCAAUGGAAGAGCUUUCAGUUUCGUGACAGCACAUACAAGAUAUGAAACAGGUUAACACUGAAAAUCGUAUUACACAAUUUAAUGCAACUAAGAGAAUAUUGACCCCUCUCUUCUGCCUCAUCCGUUUCCAUCUUCCUCCAAAGAGACAAUGGGGUAGACAAUAGAUACUUGAAAAAGAGAUUAUAAUCCAUGGAAGUAUUGCCCCAUUGGCAACUAGUAAAUGAAACUUAAUUAGUAAAAGGAAAUACACAUUUCCAAUAUUACCAGGGAAAAAAUACCUUUGCUGAACGUGUUGAAGACACACUCCCAGAGGCUGAGCUUUUGGUCACCCUCUUGCGCUUUUUGCUCUUAUUUGCCUUCUCUUUUUCUGCAAGUAGCACAGUAGUUGUAGCAUGAGGAGCCACCAAAAAGUCUAUCAGCUUUGAAACAAUAUCCUCCUUCUUCAUAGCUGCCUUGGCAACUGGUAUGUCAAGUACAUCACAAAAUUCCAACAAUUUUUCUUUAUUACACUUGUCAAAUUUUUCUUUUACUUUAGUCUUUUGCUUUUCCUCAUUUUCAUGCCACACAAAUCCAGAGAAACGGGAUAUAUUACUCUUGAUCAGAAUUGCCUUCCCUCUCCUCCCAAAGAGAAUUGUAUGAAGCAGCUUAAAGGUAUCAUCAAUCUUCCUUCUGGAUAACUUGAAUGCAACAUUAGGUAUAUCUUUCAGUGGGGUACCACGGCCCUUUUCUAUAUGGAAUUCCUUGGUUGCAUCUCUCUCAAUAGAUGCCACCAGCCUUUCAACAGAUUUCCGCUCCCGUUGUGGCCUGUCAGAAGCAGGAGUCCUUGGCUCAGGCUCCUUCUUCUUCUUCUUCUCGCCUUUCUCCCUACCACUCUUCUUCUCCCCGCCACUCUUUCCUCUCCCACGUUUCUUUACACCCUUAUCCUCAUUCUGUUCUGCCUUCUCUUCUUUCUCCUGAGACCCAUCAACCUUCUCCUCCACCUCUUCUUUGUUUUCCUCAUUUUCUUCAACUUCUGCAUCAUCUUUUGAUCCAGUUUCUUCUUCCACUGGUUCAUUUUUUUCUUCCUUUACUUCAGUUUCGGGUUCAUCCUUUUCUUUUUCUUCUUUGCUUUCCUUCUCUUCAUUCACCUUGGGGUCUUCAUCCAUCUUCUCAGUCUCAGCUUCCACAUUAUCAACUUUAUCUUCAUCCAUUGCUUUCAAUACACUACUUUCCUCUUCUUUUUUCUGUGUCACAACUUUACCUGAUUUCUCUGGUGCACUAGUUCCAUUUUCAACUACAUCAGGAACUUCAGUCACCGAUUCUUCCUUGCCCAUUUGCAAAACAGUCUAACGCAAAAGCUACAACAAAAAGCAACCUCUUUCCUUUACUAAAAAAUCCAGUUUAACUUGGAUAAUAGAAAUUAAUUAACCUCAAAUUAGCAAAAACAUUCCGAGUUCCAUGCUUGGUAUCCCCAAAGCUCCCCAUUUAAAAUCCAAAAUUCCGCUUCAUUUUCAGCAUGUUCUCAGCAACCAAACAGAGAAAAUUGAAUUUCACAUGCAAAACACGAAAAACCAGAAGGGAAAGAAAAAAAUUAAAAAGAAAAAGGAAGUCAACAUUUCCCACCCAAAAGUAACAAGCAUGAAAACCCUAAACUCUAAACAAGCAAUUCUGUACCAUAAUUACAAGGACAUUUGGAAAACAAUUAAAACAAAUUUGAAACCCAAAGAAAAGCAUGAAAACCGGAAAGUAACGAAGUAGAAAUAAAACAAAAUUGAAACUU
rnacentral:misc_RNA from 1 species